rnacentral:rRNA from 1 species
UGCGGUGGUUAUGGCUGGAGGGUCACACCCGGUCCCAUUCCGAACCCGGUCGUUAAGCCUCUUUGCGCCGAUGGUACUGCCUCCAUGGUGUGGGGUGGGAGAGUAGGUUGCCGCCGCAU